AUUGAACGCUGGCGGAACGCUUUACACAUGCGAGUCGAGCGGCAGCGCGGGGGCAACCCUGGCGGCGAGCGGCGAACGGGUGAGUAACAUAUCGGAACGUACCCAGUCGUGGGGGAUAACUAUCCGAAAGGAUAGCUAAUACCGCAUACGUCCUGAGGGAGAAAGCGGGGGAUCGCAAGACCUCGCGCGAUUGGAGCGGCCGAUAUCGGAUUAGCUAGUUGGUGGGGUAAAGGCUCACCAAGGCGACGAUCCGUAGCGGGUCUGAGAGGACGACCCGCCACACUGGAACUGAGACACGGUCCAGACUCCUACGGGAGGCAGCAGUGGGGAAUUUUGGACAAUGGGGGCAACCCUGAUCCAGCCAUUCCGCGUGAGUGAAGAAGGCCUCGG
rnacentral:rRNA from 1 species